rnacentral:rRNA from 1 species
GGGUCAGUAGGUUGGUCGUGCCACCGGUACGUACUGGUCUCACUGAUUCCUCCUUCCUGAAGAACCGUAAUGCCAUUAAUUUGGUGUUGCGGGGAAACAGGAUUGUUACUUUGAAAAAAUUAGAGUGUUUAAAGCAAGCUAACGCUUGAAUACAUUAGCAUGGAAUAAUGAAAUAGGACGAUCGAUCCUAUUUUGUUGGUUUCUAGGAUUGACGUA